CAGUAGCCGCGGUAAAACGAGGGGAGCUAGCGUUGUUCGGAAUUACUGGGCGUAAAGCGCGCGUAGGCGGCUUUUUAAGUCAGAGGUGAAAGCCCGGGGCUCAACCCCGGAAUUGCCUUUGAAACUGGAAAGCUAGAAUCUUGGAGAGGUCAGUGGAAUUCCGAGUGUAGAGGUGAAAUUCGUAGAUAUUCGGAAGAACACCAGUGGCGAAGGCGACUGACUGGACAAGUAUUGACGCUGAGGUGCGAAAGCGUGGGGAGCAAACAGGAUUAGAUACCCCUGUAGUCCCUGUCUCUUAUAC
rnacentral:rRNA from 1 species